GACGAACUCCUCCAAGGGAUUUCAUCAGAUUGAUGCAAUCUCCAGUGCGUGGACUCUAAAGACCUUUGUUAUGUUAAAUUGUGAAGCUUUUUACAUUCAGGGAAACGGGGUGGUCAUGGUGGCACGUAGAGUUUCAAUCACUCGCCAAAAAGCAGCAAUCUGCUGUCACUCUAAAACACAAUGUUCAAUCUCUCCCAAAGGUCAUAGGCGUGAUGAGACUCGACCUCGGAAAUGUUUGUUAUGCCAUUUGUCAGUAAUGGUUAGAGCGCCACCUAGUGGGACGACUAACUAAUCAUGAUUGAACGAGAUGAAAUGUUAGCUGGUGGUUGAAUGCAUGAAUUCCAUCAAUGUGACAUCAGAUCGGACGUGCUGGUUCCGGUGUUGGGCGUGGCUCGACGCGCCGGGGGUGCGAGGGCCCUCAUAACGCUGCUUGCAGCUUUAAUUUAUAUUUUAUUCCUUCCUAGUUAAAUUUACACUUUUUAAUUUUUCAUAUUUAUUUCCUAUCUUAUUCAUAGCCUUUUCCUUUUUUUUUCUUUAGGUCACGAGCAGUUGUCUAAGCAUUUCACUGCAUAUCGUACUGUGUAUGACUGUGUACGUGACAAAUAAAAUUUGAAUUUGAAUUUUAUAUUUGAACCUUAACAUUAGUCAUUACAACAAGUGUUUGUGAACUAAAAAUCAAGAAUGUGGGAUGCUGUUUGUCCGUGAUUUAAACAGCCCAGCGCUGCUCCCGACGAAGGGAAAACUAAUCUUUCAUUGUUACGCUGAUGACCUGCAGCUUUAUGUUCCUUUAACCAUUGGAAAUUGUGCUGAAGUCUCUAAACUAGAAUCUUGUCUAUCUGCAAUUAAGGGCUGGCUAUCUGAUCAUUUCUUGCUCCUAAAUACUGAUAAAACAUAGUUGAUGGUCAUUGGGCCACACAAAUUUCAGCACUUGUCCCAAAAUUUCAUCUUGAGAAUUGAUGACAGUGUCAUAAAUUGUAGGGACAAGGUAAAAAACUUUGGCG
ensembl:lncRNA